AUGGCGAUGGUCCUGGAUGCCUUUGCAUCCUAUGUGCAAAAUAUGCUCACCGAGAUGGUGAGCGAAGAGGUGCACAUGCUGCUUGGAGUCGGAGACGACAUCGACAGGAUGGAUGUCAAGCUUAGGGACCUCAAGAACUUCCUAGCCGACGCUGACAGGAGAAACAUCACUGACAGCAGUGUCCAAGAGUGGGUGGGGCACCUCAAGGGCGCCAUGUAUGAAGCUACCGACAUCCUCGACCUUUGCCAGCUCAAGGCCAUGGAGGAAGGUCCAUCCACUGUAGAUGUGGGGUGUUUCAACCCAUUGCUCUUUUGCUUAGAUGCAGGGUACUUCAACCCCUUGCUCCUUUGCAUGCGGAAUCCCUCCCAUGCCCACGGCAUCGCCACCCGCAUCAAGGUGCUCAACAAGAGGCUCGACACCAUCAAGGAGCGAAGUGCUGCUUUCAGUUUCGUCAAUCUUGGUUCCUAUGAGGAUCGUGGCAGCAAGGUGCACAGUUUUCAUUCUCAGAAUACCAGCCGUGAGACAUCAGGGGAGUUCGACCGGUCGGGUGUAGUCGGAGAGAAGAUCGAACAGGACACAAGGAAGCUUGUCGAGAUCAUGCUCACUGAAAAGGGGGGCUGCACCAACAUCAAGGUGGUCGCCAUUGUUGGCAUCGGCGGGAUCGGCAAGACCACUCUUGCCCAGAAGGUCUUCAAUGACGAAACUGUUAAGGCUGAGUUCGAUGACACAAUAUGGUUGAGCAUUAACCAGGACUUUGACAAGGUUGAGCUACUCAGGACAGUCAUCACGCUCGCCGGGGGAGUACACGGAGGUGAAAAGGCGUUGGCUGUGCUUCAGCCAAUCCUUACUACUGCCUUGACCGGAAAGAAGCUAUUGCUAGUGCUAGAUGAUGUGUGGAGCCAUGGAGCAUGGGGCAAUGUGCUUGAAAUACCCUUGGCUAAUGUUGUGGCUCGAGGUAGCCGAGUCCUUGUCACUACUAGAGAUGAAAGAGUUGCCCGAGGGAUGAAAGCUGUUCUUCCUUACCAUCAUGUCGACAAAUUAGAGGAAGAGGAUGCCUGGUCAUUGCUUAAGAAACAGAUGGUCUCAAGUGAGACAGAUGGACGUGAAAUUGAUAUGCUCAAGGAUAUUGGGUUGCAAAUUAUAACAAAAUGUGAUGGUUUGCCUCUUGCUGUCAAAGUGAUGGGGGGACUCCUGUGCCAAAAGGAGAAAAAGCGCAGUGACUGGGAGAUGGUUCUAGGUGAUUCUAUGUGGUCGGUGUCUGGAAUGCCUGAAGAGCUAAACCAUGCAGUAUAUUUAAGCUACGAAGAUUUACCUUCUAUCAUGAAACAAUGCUUUCUAUGCUACGCCCUUCUCCCAAAAAUUGCAUUAUUCGAAAGGGACAACAUAAUUGGCAUGUGGAUUAGUGAAGGAUUUCUUCACGGAGCCUACGACGACUUAGAAGAACUAGGAAAUAAGUACUAUAAGGAGCUGAUACUGAGGAACCUCAUAGAGCCAAAUACAGAGUAUGCUAAUCAAUCUGUCUGCACCGUGCAUGAUGUUGUACGCUCAUUUGCUCAAUUUGUGGCUAGAGAUGAGGCACUAGCAGCUCACAGUGGAGAAACUAGUAUUGUUAGUAAACUUAGUGCAAAGAAGUUUCUUCGGUUGUCUCUAGAAAGCAAAUCAUCAGAAUCAGACGGGCUAGAGUGGAGUUCUUUACAAGCACAAAGCACACUGAGAACACUAAUUUCAGUUGGACACAUAAAUUUGAAGCAUGGUGAUUCGUUGGUUAAUUUUCCAUGCAUACGUACUUUACAUAUAGAUUCUGCACAUGUUGUUGCACUGGUUGAAUCUUUACAUGAAAUCAAGCACCUGAGGUACUUGUCCUUCCGCAACUGUGAUUUAUCUAGUCUGCCAGAUAGCAUUGGAGAGAUGAAAUUCUUGCAGUACAUUAACCUUGCAGGAUGCAAACAAUUUCUGAAACUUCCAGAUAGCAUUAUAAAAUUAGAGCAGCUAAGGUAUCUUAACUUGGAUAACACCAAUAUAAAUGGCAUACCUAAGGGGUUCCGUGUUCUAACAAAUUUGAGAAUAGUAUCUGGGUUUCCAGCCCAGGAAGAGGAUGGUUGGUGUAGUUUGGAAGAGUUGGCCCCUCUUUCUCGGCUCAAGAUACUUGGACUACAGGGAUUGGAGAAUGUAUCUGCUUCCUCAUCCGCAGCAAAGGCAAAGCUUAGCGAGAAGGUGCAUCUUACUGGCCUAUCCUUGAUCUGUGAUUAUAGAUUGUAUGGGUUGAUUGAGGAGCAAGGUACUAGUGUCUCUGAGGAAGAACAUCAAAAAAUUGAGAAGGUGUUUGAUGAGCUCUGCCCUCCACCCAACUUAGAUUUUCUUUACAUUAAUGGAUAUUUUGGCCGACGACUCCCAAGGUGGAUGAUUUCAUCAUCAGUUGUGGCUCUAAAGAGCUUGAGGACUUUGAUGGUUCACGACCUGGCUUGCUGCACAGAGCUUCCUGAUGGCUUGUGUCAGCUUCCUUAUUUGGAGUUCAUUCAGAUCUCUCGCGCACCAAUCAUCAAGCGUAUUGGCCCUGAAUUCAUGCAGCCCUACCACCACCAUGGUCUUCAUCCAACCCAGGCGGCUGUUGCCUUUCCGAGAUUGAGCAAGAUGUUCUUAACGGAAAUGGUGGAAUGGGAGGAAUGGGAAUGGAAGGAGCAAGUGCAAGCCUUUCCUGUCCUGCACGAGCUUGUGCUAAAGCACUGCAAACUGAAGCGUCUUCCUCUUGGCCUUGCCUCUCAGGCAAGGGCUUUGAAUAAAUUAUUCAUACAAUAUGUCUAUGGUUUGAUCUCUGUAGAGAACUUUCCAUCUCUUGUCGAGCUGCAUAUCACUCUAGACUUUGACCUGGAGAGGAUAUCUAAUCUUCCCAGGCUGCAGAAGCUUGCAAUCGGCGGGUGCUCAAAGUUGAAGGUGUUGGAGGGUGUUCCCUCACUCCAAUGGAUCAUGCUUGCGGAUGCACACAUGGAUACACUCCCAGAAUACAUGGGAAGUAUAUGCCCAAGGUAUUUGGAGCUACUCUGUGGCCUAGGGCUGCUCACUUCUUUAGCCAUGGGACAAUCUGGCCCCGAGUGGGACAAGUUCAGCCAUGUUGGGCAUGUCAAGGCGUAUGCACAUGAAGAAAAUAAUAGGAAGAAAUGGUAUGUCUUGUACACAGCUGACCCCUACAACUUGGAAACAAAUGUCAGCCGUUCUUUCAUGUCUAGAGGAACCUUAUGUUCGUUUGUGGAUGCCCAAAGGUUUGAAUAUGUCUUCAAAAUGACAAGAAAAACCUUUAGUUACAUCUGCAGCUUGGUGAAGUGGGCAUCACUGAAAGAUAUGGACAGCUAUACCUUUGUUGACGGGAGGGUGCUGUCUUUAGAAGAUCGGGUAGCCGUUGCUCUGAGAAGACUGUACUCUGCUGAGCUACCAGAGACCUUCGGAUCCUCUGUUGGUGUGAACGAGUCAACCAUCUCGUUGGUAACUGAGAGGUUUGUUGCUGCUGUGUACACCCACGCAAUGCAGAGCUGGCCAGGUUCCAGCGAAAUGGAUAAGAUCAAAUCCAUGUUUGGCAAGAUCUACAAUAUGGAUAACUGUUGCGGUGUUAUAUGUACAACCCACACCCCAUUUGGACCAAACUGGGAUCAUGAGAAGAAUGUCAGCAUUCUAAUGCAAGUCAUCGUCGAUCCAAAGAUGAGGUUUACAAGCAUUUGGGUCGGAUCAGCAGGUAAUGUGAACCAGCUGUCCGUUUUGCAUGACUCUCCAUUCUUUGAGCAGUGCGAGAAGGGGGUUCGCCUGAAUGGCAGCAAGCUGAAGGUAGGAUUAGAUGGAUCAGAAGUCGGGGAAUACAUAAUUGGUGAUGCAGGACAACCUCUUCUCCCCUGGCUGCUCACACCUUACCAAGAAGAAGACCACUCGGACUCCAAGACAGAGUUCAAUAGGAGACACUCCGCAACCACAUCCUGCAUGCUGAAGGCGCUGGCAAGGUUCAGAGAUACAUGGAAGUACCUGCAGGAAGAGACAUGGCGUCCUGUCAGUCCAGACACUCUACAUAAGACAAUCUAUGCCUGCUGCUUGUUGCAUAACAUAGUCAUAGAUAUGGGGGAUGAUGGAGUCAUGCGGAACGUUUAUGGGAAUUACCGCGAGGAAGUGCGCCAGGUAGCAAACGAGGACUCCGUCAGGGUGAGAGAUAUACUGUCGGAAUACUUCUUGACCACUAUGACAUCUGAAUCAGGAGUGGGUGCAGAGGAGGAGGAUGAAGUAGGUGCGUCAGGCUCAGAGGAUGAAGACAAGGAACAAAAGGCAGAGACAGAGAUCAUAAAGUUAGCUUCAUCCUAA
rnacentral:rRNA from 1 species